CCUACGGGAGACAGCAGUGGGGAAUAUUGGGCAAUGGGCGCAAGCCUGACCCAGCAACGCCGCGUGAAGGAAGAAGGCUUUCGGGUUGUAAACUUCUUUUCUGAGGGACGAAGAAAGUGACGGUACCUCAGGAAUAAGCCACGGCUAACUACGUGCCAGCAGCCGCUGUAAUACGUAGGUGGCAAGCUUUAUCCGGAUUUAUUGGGGGUAAAGGGCGUGUAGGCGGGAAAGCAAGUCAGAUGUGAAAACUCAGGGCUCAACCCUGAGCCUGAAUUUGAAACUGUUUUUCUUGAGUGCUGGAGAGGCAAUCGGAAUUCCGUGUGGAGCGGUGAAAUGCGUAGAUAUACGGAGGAACACCAGUGGCGAAGGCGGAUUGUUGGACAGUAACUGACGCUGAGGCGCGAAAGCGUGGGGAGCAAACAGGAUUAGAUACCCGGGUAGUC
rnacentral:rRNA from 1 species